UGGGGAAUUUUGGACAAUGGGGGCAACCCUGAUCCAGCCAUCCCGCGUGUGCGAUGAAGGCCUUCGGGUUGUAAAGCACUUUUGGCAGGGAAGAAACAGCCUGGGCUAAUAUCCCGGGCGACUGACGGUACCUGCAGAAUAAGCACCGGCUAACUACGUGCCAGCAGCCGCGGUAAUACGUAGGGUGCAAGCGUUGUUCGGAAUUACUGGGCGUAAAGCGUACGUAGGCGGAUGCGCAAGUUGGGGGUGAAAUCCCGGGGCUUAACCUCGGAAUUGCCCUCAAAACUGCACGCCUUGAGACCGAGAGAGGUAAGGGGAAUUCCUAGUGUAGAGGUGAAAUUCGUAGAUAUUAGGAAGAACACCCGUGGCGAAGGCGCCUUACUGGCUCGGUACUGACGCUGAGGUACGAAAGCGUGGGGAGCAAACA
rnacentral:rRNA from 1 species